UCCUUGAAGUAACUUCUAGAGAUUAGUGCAA
rnacentral:piRNA from 1 species